rnacentral:lncRNA from 1 species
UCCCUAAUGCUCCCAUCAACAUUAACCUUCAGAUACCUUGGAGGUGGGGCUUCCAAAUGAUGAACACAUAUCAGAUCACUACAUGAAUAUGGUGGGAGUCACAGAUCUCCGAAGGCCUAAAGGUCACAUCAAUCAGCUCCUACAUCAGGAUUAGAGCUCUCUCAAAGAUGAACCUUGUCAGGCAUCUCCUGGACUCAAAAACUAUAUUAUUUCGGGCCAACCAAAUAUACUAGACGAUACAGGCAAUCCGAAUAGCAACCUUCCUGGGUGCAUCACCCUCAGCCCUCCGCCUCAAAAGAUCAAUGAAGGCUCUAAUCGGAUCCUUCACCUGAAUAAUUCAUUGAUGCAAACCCGCUAAGAACCAAACCCAUCUAGCUGAUGGAUAUAGAAAAAGCGUCUGCUCCACCAUCUCUUCCACUCCAUAAUUGGAGCAGAUAGCCUGAAUAUCUAUACCUCUCUCCCUCAGAAUGGUCCUGGUUGGAAGCCUUCCUCAGACGACCUUCUAGAGGAAGAGGCUCACUCUCAAAUACACCCCCAACCUCUAAAUCCAUCCACCAUCUAGAUGCCUGAUGGCCUUCGACUGGUACAGUUGGUAAAGAUCAGCUGUGAUUGGUCUCACUAUACAG